UACAACUAACGUUACAAGAGAACAAACAAACUGCCAAGUGUAGUAUUAACUGAAGCUCCGUGUUAAUUCAGAUCAAGCUCACUAGGUUACUACAACAGUUACAGGGUACUUUCAUUGCCAGUCAGAAUGAAUGAAGAGGACUAUAAGCAUGGGUCACCUGUUUACCAGGAGAACAGCCAGAUGGCGUUCUUUCUGGGAGCUCCCCCCCAGUUCCUACCUGAGAGGACACAGAAUCGUCCGUCUAUGUGUCUGACCGGAAUGCCACACCAACAGCUGCAAUCUCACUCCCCUGAACACUACAGGAAGGCGAUGGACAUGCUGCCAAACACCUGUAUGACCCCAGUGCCAGGUGACCCUUAUAAAACUAGACGUAUGUCUAUCAUAGAAGUGUCACAUUAACAACACAGUAGCAGCGUGGUGCUCACUGGUGAGAGAGUGCAGGGUUUGAAUAUUGCCGUUGGUCAUCUGCUUGCCGUCUGCCCUCUCCCCUUCGGCCUGUGUAGUUUUCCUCUGAGGGCUCUGAUGCGUUCCUCACCAUGAGACAAGUCUCUUCACAGGAAGGUUCUCCUGCGAUAA